AAGGAAGUGACGUAGGGCACGCGCUGGUGGCGUAAUGGAGCAGCAGCAGCAACAGCAGCAGCAGCUUAGAAACCUGCGGGACUUCCUGUUGGUCUACAAUCGGAUGACGGAACUCUGCUUCCAGCGCUGCGUGCCCAGCCUGCACCACCGAGCUCUGGAUGCUGAGGAGGAGGCCUGUCUGCACAGCUGUGCUGGGAAGCUGAUCCAUUCCAAUCACCGCCUCAUGGCCGCUUACGUGCAGCUCAUGCCUGCCCUGGUACAGCGCCGCAUCGCAGACUACGAGGCUGCCUCAUCUGUGCCAGGUGUUGCUGCUGAACAGCCCGAAACCUCGCCAUCAGGGAGCUAGCCGUCCCCAACCCCGGGAAGGGAGGCACUGGAUGGACCCUCAAAUUUAAGGAGCCAGUGGACCUUGGGCUGGGUACAACCUGUAUAUAGAUGAGCAGUAAAAUCUUUAAACAAAGAAGAUCUGUGUGCUUGUCUUCAGGAGCAGUCAGAAAGGGGGAAACUUGUGGAACCAUAUUCUGCAAUACAGUCAGACUCGAGGAAUAAAAACCUAAGGGAGAAGUAGAUGGUGAUGGUUAUGGGGAAAAAAGGAAGAAAGCCAAAUCUUCAGGACUUCUUGCAUGUUACCUUAAUGUCUCACUGCUUGUCUGUAAUCUCCUGAUUCCAUCUCUUCGUCUACCCCACAUUGUUCCCACUGUGCCUGUUCUGUGAUUUCUAAUUCCAACCUGUCUGUUCUUUCCUCAUUAUUUCCCUCCGUGUGGAAUUUACUUCUGUAUUCAGCAAUCUGAGUGGCCUAUCCAUCACUGAAUUUUCUUGCCAUUUUUGUGUCCUUUUUGUAUCAGCUGUUUUAACAUUUCUGUUCCUCCAUUCACACUGCUAGAGAAAAACAAAGCUGUGUAGUGAAUACCACUAAAUAUUCAAGGUCUCCAACCUCAACCAAGCCCUCGUUACAAACAAGCAACCCUUUGUGGGUUCCUGGUCUGUUUGCUCUCCUAAUCACUACGGCAGUUAUUUUACACCUUCAUUGCUCUCCUUAAUCCCCUACCUCACCCUCGACUAUUCCCCAUCAGGUGACCAUGUUUGAUUUUUAAAAUGGAAGUAGAACUUCUUAGACAUUGGCUCCCACAAUCAUUACAAAAAAAAAAGAAGGAAAUGAAAGAAAACUUAUAACCAUCCACAAAGCAGAUGUUUUCUCUCCUAUACAGAUCAGGACGUUGAAAUUCUCUGGUAGCAGACCCUGUCUGAAAAUGCAGACCUGUCUUUAAAAUCCUUUACUACACCAGGCUGCCUUUCAAAAUAUCUGUUGAGCACCCGCUUUGUAUAGGUUCUGAUCUUGGUAUUAUCCCCACUUAACAGAUGAGGAAGCAAGAAUUCAGUAUGUACCAGAAGCCCACCUUAUACACAGUUACCUAUUGAGAAAAGUGGCUCUAAUCAGCUUUUUGCCUCAAUAGCUGAACAAAUCUUGAACAGAAAGGUUUGCUAAGACCCUUCCUUAAUAAAAAAGUUGUUGACCAGGAACUUUCCUACUGAGUGGCUUCAUGUCUGCCCAAUAAAGUUCUCUCCUUGAAAAGUGUAAAUGCAGGUAAAACAGCUUGUGAACUUUGCAAUUCCCAGAGACAGGAAUGGGGACCUGGGAUAUUGUUCUGAUGAUGGGAGGAUUCUUCUACAUCGAUAUUUAUGUAUAUCCCUUCAAUAAACUUCCAUUGUGAAUUA